GAUGGGCCACAUUUCCUUCUGGACAUGUUCUUGUUGAGCUUUCUGCAUAUCAUCCCUCCUGUUCUAGGCAGUCAAAACUUCAAAAUAUAAAACUGUAAGAAAAUCCCUAACUUGUCAUUACCAGUUCACUGAUCAUCAUCUAGUCAAUACUCAGUAAUAAUUAGUUGCAUUGGAUAUCACUAAUCAAGGAGACCAUCAAAUAAAGGAAGAUUUUCGAUCAAGCAAGUUGCUCAACAAUGAUUUGUGAUGGGAAUGAAGUCAUCAACAACUGUCAGACUAGAUAUCUCCAUCUCAGGGGCCACUCUAUAUAGGACUUCUUUUAAGGGACCACUACAUAUUGUACUUCUUAUCAUUAUGAUAUUACCAAGCACCCAAAAAUAAUAAUUAGUUGGUAUCUCAUUGCACAAUCACAAACAGAUCAUGACACAAUCUACACAUGGUCCCCACAUUCCGUUAUAUGCUUCUUAGGUUGCCACUAAAACAGGUGAGUAUGGCAGCAUACUGUAUUGUCCAAGCAUGCCCAAAAGCAUCGUCCCCAACAAGUGGCAAACAGAUGGCCCCAGAGAAUCUAAUCAAGAUCACACUACUUGCCCUUGCACUUACAGCAUUGCAUGCUCUGAGCUCAUGGCUUCCCAACUUGUCAUGAUAGCUGGACCUAAACUGCAUUGUUCUCUUUCCUUUAUCCCUCACCUAUAAAUUCAUCAGCUUAGCACCACCAUCACUUGAGUUCAUCCAGAAAGUACAAGCUAAAGCAGCACCACUACACCUAGCCAAGAAAGGAGGAGCAAAACAAAACAUGGUUAGUGCCAAGAGACUUUCUGAGAUGAUGGCUAAGAAGUGGCAGAAAAUAGCGGCCAUCCAGAGGAAGAGGCUCACCCAGACCACGACAGUGGCGAAAGGAGCAGCCAAUGACGAGUGCUGUGCCACAUCGCCGUCAGUGGCGAUGAAGGGCCACUGUGUUUUGUACACCGCUGAC
rnacentral:lncRNA from 1 species